CCGACCGGCGCCCACCGACCGGCGCCCACUGACGGACACUCUCCCUCUGCCAGCUCUCUCUCUCGAACCCAGCAGACACGAGCACCGCGGAUGUCCGACCAGGUCCGAUGAGGAGCGCCACAGCCGACCACUCUCUACGUAAGCUUUCGAGUGAUACCCUAAAAGUGUCUAUCUCCAGACUUAUGGCCAGAUCUGUGAAUUUGUUUUUAUGGCAAGAAAUGGUGUGUCCCUGUGAUUUGCAUUGCAGAGUAUACAUAUCACAAUAUCAUGGAUAAUGCUUCAAUUCCUCUGAGAAGUACUUGAAGAAAGAUAUCGUUGAUUUGCUUGCGAAUGGACUCGAUAUCAAUGCUUAUGGACGGGUGAUAUUAUUGAUUUAUUGCUGACACUGGGUGCCUAAGUUGAAUCACCAAAAUUGUCCAAGUGAGCGUAUGGAUUCUAGGCAGCUCCCAAGCUUGCUUAUAUCUCUUUGGUAAUCCAUGGUGGCAUAAUCAAGGUUCAGAACCAGCAGACAUUGCAGCUUUUGAAGAAGGAGAAAACUGAAAACAUGAAG